rnacentral:rRNA from 1 species
UACGAGGGGGGCGAGCGUUGUUCGGAAUUACUGGGCUUAAAGGGCGCGUAGGCGGGUGUCCAAGUCUGGGGGGAAAUCCUUCGGCCCAACCGGAGAACAGCCUCGGAUACUGGAUGUCUCGAGGGGGGUAGGGGCACGCGGAACUUCCGGUGGAGCGGUGAAAUGCGUAGAUAUUGGAAAGAACACCGAUGGCGAAGGCACUUUACUGGGCUAUUACUAACACUCAGAGACGAAAGCUAGGGUAGCAAAUGGG